GGGUUGUGAGGUUAAGCGACUAAGCGUACACGGUGGAUGCCCUGGCAGUCAGAGGCGAUGAAGGACGUGCUAAUCUGCGAUAAGCGCCGGUAAGGUGAUAUGAACCGUUAUAACCGGCGAUUUCCGAAUGGGGAAACCCAGUGUGAUUCGUCACACUAUCAUUAACUGAAUCCAUAGGUUAAUGAGGCGAACCGGGGGAACUGAAACAUCUAAGUACCCCGAGGAAAAGAAAUCAACCGAGAUUCCCCCAGUAGCGGCGAGCGAACGGGGAGGAGCCCAGAGCCUGAAUCAGCAUGUGUGUUAGUGGAAGCGUCUGGAAAGGCGCGCGAUACAGGGUGACAGCCCCGUACACAAAAGCGCAUGUGCUGUGAGCUCGAUGAGUAGGGCGGGACACGUGGUAUCCUGUCUGAAUAUGGGGGGACCAUCCUCCAAGGCUAAAUACUCCUGACUGACCGAUAGUGAACCAGUACCGUGAGGGAAAGGCGAAAAGAACCCCGGCGAGGGGAGUGAAAAAGAACCUGAAACCGUGUACGUACAAGCAGUGGGAGCACAGGUUUACCUGUGUGACUGCGUACCUUUUGUAUAAUGGGUCAGCGACUUAUAUUCUGUAGCAAGGUUAACCGUAUAGGGGAGCCGUAGGGAAACCGAGUCUUAACCGGGCGUUAAGUUGCAGGGUAUAGACCCGAAACCCGGUGAUCUAGCCAUGGGCAGGUUGAAGGUUGGGUAACACUAACUGGAGGACCGAACCGACUAAUGUUGAAAAAUUAGCGGAUGACCUGUGGCUGGGGGUGAAAGGCCAAUCAAACCGGGAGAUAGCUGGUUCUCCCCGAAAGCUAUUUAGGUAGCGCCUCGUGAAUUCAUCUCCGGGGGUAGAGCACUGUUUCGGCUAGGGGGCCAUCCCGGCUUACCAACCCGAUGCAAACUGCGAAUACCGGAGAAUGUUAUCACGGGAGACACACGGCGGGUGCUAACGUCCGUCGUGAAGAGGGAAACAACCCAGACCGCCAGCUAAGGUCCCAAAGUCAUGGUUAAGUGGGAAACGAUGUGGGAAGGCCCAGACAGCCAGGAUGUUGGCUUAGAAGCAGCCAUCAUUUAAAGAAAGCGUAAUAGCUCACUGGUCGAGUCGGCCUGCGCGGAAGAUGUAACGGGGCUAAACCAUGCACCGAAGCUGCGGCAGCGACACUGUGUGUUGUUGGGUAGGGGAGCGUUCUGUAAGCCUGUGAAGGUGUGUCGUGAGGCAUGCUGGAGGUAUCAGAAGUGCGAAUGCUGACAUAAGUAACGAUAAAGCGGGUGAAAAGCCCGCUCGCCGGAAGACCAAGGGUUCCUGUCCAACGUUAAUCGGGGCAGGGUGAGUCGACCCCUAAGGCGAGGCCGAAAGGCGUAGUCGAUGGGAAACGGGUUAAUAUUCCCGUACUUGGUGUUACUGCGAAGGGGGGACGGAGAAGGCUAUGUUGGCCGGGCGACGGUUGUCCCGGUUUAAGCGUGUAGGUGUGUGUUCCAGGUAAAUCCGGUUCACUUUAACACUGAGGCGUGACGACGAGGCACUACGGUGCUGAAGCAACAAAUGCCCUGCUUCCAGGAAAAGCCUCUAAGCAUCAGGUAACAUCAAAUCGUACCCCAAACCGACACAGGUGGUCAGGUAGAGAAUACCAAGGCGCUUGAGAGAACUCGGGUGAAGGAACUAGGCAAAAUGGUGCCGUAACUUCGGGAGAAGGCACGCUGACACGUAGGUGAAGUGAUUUACUCAUGGAGCUGAAGUCAGUCGAAGAUACCAGCUGGCUGCAACUGUUUAUUAAAAACACAGCACUGUGCAAACACGAAAGUGGACGUAUACGGUGUGACGCCUGCCCGGUGCCGGAAGGUUAAUUGAUGGGGUCAGCGCAAGCGAAGCUCCUGAUCGAAGCCCCGGUAAACGGCGGCCGUAACUAUAACGGUCCUAAGGUAGCGAAAUUCCUUGUCGGGUAAGUUCCGACCUGCACGAAUGGCGUAAUGAUGGCCAGGCUGUCUCCACCCGAGACUCAGUGAAAUUGAACUCGCUGUGAAGAUGCAGUGUACCCGCGGCAAGACGGAAAGACCCCGUGAACCUUUACUAUAGCUUGACACUGAACAUUGAGCCUUGAUGUGUAGGAUAGGUGGGAGGCUUUGAAGCGUGGACGCCAGUCUGCGUGGAGCCGACCUUGAAAUACCACCCUUUAAUGUUUGAUGUUCUAACGUGGACCCGUAAUCCGGGUUGCGGACAGUGUCUGGUGGGUAGUUUGACUGGGGCGGUCUCCUCCUAAAGAGUAACGGAGGAGCACGAAGGUUGGCUAAUCCUGGUCGGACAUCAGGAGGUUAGUGCAAUGGCAUAAGCCAGCUUGACUGCGAGCGUGACGGCGCGAGCAGGUGCGAAAGCAGGUCAUAGUGAUCCGGUGGUUCUGAAUGGAAGGGCCAUCGCUCAACGGAUAAAAGGUACUCCGGGGAUAACAGGCUGAUACCGCCCAAGAGUUCAUAUCGACGGCGGUGUUUGGCACCUCGAUGUCGGCUCAUCACAUCCUGGGGCUGAAGUAGGUCCCAAGGGUAUGGCUGUUCGCCAUUUAAAGUGGUACGCGAGCUGGGUUUAGAACGUCGUGAGACAGUUCGGUCCCUAUCUGCCGUGGGCGCUGGAGAACUGAGGGGGGCUGCUCCUAGUACGAGAGGACCGGAGUGGACGCAUCACUGGUGUUCGGGUUGUCAUGCCAAUGGCACUGCCCGGUAGCUAAAUGCGGAAGAGAUAAGUGCUGAAAGCAUCUAAGCACGAAACUUGCCCCGAGAUGAGUUCUCCCUGAGACUUAGAGUCUCCUGAAGGAACGUUGAAGACGACGACGUUGAUAGGCCGGGUGUGUAAGCGCAGCGAUGCGUUGAGCUAACCGGUACUAAUGAACCGUGAGGCUUAACCUUACAACGCCGAAG
rnacentral:rRNA from 1 species